CUCGGUAUUCUGGGGCAUGUAGUUGUAUCAUAAACUACAUGCCCAAGCUUACUUCUGGGAGAAUUGUGGAGCCAUAUGAUAGGCUCAAAAGAGGGGAGUGGCCGAGGACCGGAGGGGAGAGGAGGGGAGAGGAAUGGGUAAUGGCCGGAAAACGGCUAGGUAAAAAAGGAAAUGGGUGUGGCGGCCAUCUUGGUAGGGGAAUAGACACCAUAAAGCUAUGUAAAAAACAUAGCAGCGGCCAUAUUGGAGGUGGCAAAAAACAUAUUAGUGGUAAAUAAGCAUUUUUGCACAAAAAGAAAGGGUAAAAAAAAAGGGAACAAUUAUAGGAACACAUAAAUAGAAAAAGACAUGUUACUUGUAACAUAAUGGAAUGUGGCAUAAUAAUAAACAGC